CUUGAGCUGAAGCAGGGUUUUGAGCCACUGCUGCUGCUGCCAUUGUCACCAUGGUCUCAGCUCUGCGGGGAGCACCCCUGAUCAUGGACCACGGAGGCUGGUGAGCUGCCUGUCAUCCCAAAGCUCAGCUCUGAGCCAGAGUGGUGGUGGCUCCACCUCUGCCGCCGGCAUAGAAGCCAGGAGCAGGGCUCUCAGAAGGCGGUGGUGCCCAGCUGGGAUCAUGUUGUUGGCCCUGGUCUGUCUGCUCAGCUGCCUGCUACCCUCCAGUGAGGCCAAGCUCUACGGUCGUUGUGAACUGGCCAGAGUGCUACAUGACUUCGGGCUGGACGGAUACCGGGGAUACAGCCUGGCUGACU
rnacentral:lncRNA from 1 species